ACUCUGAGACACUUACCAAAUGGAUGUUUAGCAACAAUUGGCUCUGAUUUCAGGCCUUCUCCUACACCAUAUUUAUUUUCGGCACUGACCCUGAAGGUGUAUUCCAUGCCCUCAUGAAGUCUGGUUACUCUAAAGGUAGUUUUCUGAACAGCAGAGGCACAUGUCACCCACUUGUUGUUUACAGAAUCUCUCUUCUCUAGGAUAUAGUUGGUGAUUUCAGAACCUCCGUCAUCUUUUGGAGGACCCCACUUUAAGGUCAUGGCUUCUGCUGUGACUUCAUCAAAUUUGAUUGGCCCGGUGGGGAUGCCAGGCUUGCCAACAACUUUUAUAGAGAGAGUUCCUUCCUUGGUGCCAGCAACAUUCUUUAGUGUGAUUGUAUAUUUUCCAGCAUCAGAUUUUUGGCAAUCAUAUACCACAAGAGUUGUGUUAACGGCAGAUGACUCAACACUGACUCUUGUGUCAGUUGCUAGAGGAUCUUCCCCUUUCUUCCAGGAUACAGAUGGAACCGGCUUGCCUUUUAUGGGGAUCUUAAGACGGAAGUUGCUGUUUUCUUUUGCCAAGUAGCACAAGUCAGGUAUAUCCUUUAAGUCAAGGUCCGGAGCCACUGUAAAACAGCAGAGAUAAAUUAUUGUUAUUUUUCAGACCAGGCAAUUAAUUUUUUCAGAUCAUUAUAAUUUGUAAAGGGUGUUUAUAUAAGCCAGUGAGUAGGGCUCAAGCAUGCACUUUUGAUGACAAUAAAGGGAAAAUGAAGAUGCAUGGCUUACAAACAUCAUCCUUUGCCACAGCACUGAUUUCACUUGGGGUUCCUUCUCCAUUUUCAUUCUCAGCACUCACUCUGAAGGUAUAUUCCUUCCCUUCACUCAGAUCUUUUGCAGAAUAUUGUAAGCUUAAUGAUUUCAUAACACGUUGCCACUUAUUAUCUUCAGUCAGGAAAUCCACUACAUAUCCGAUAAUUCGACUUCCACCAUCACUGUGAGGCUUUUUCCAGCCUAUGCUACAAGAUGACUUAGUUACAGACCUCACUUUCAGGUCCACAACUGGUCCAGGGGUUUCUAAAGCAAAGAAAACAUGAUAAGUCUAAGCCCCAGAUAACUACGGUAAGAGGUCACUCAAAAUGAUGGGGAAGUCGCUCAUAUGCUUACGGGAAGCUUUGACGGCAUCACGUGUUUCACCAGGAUCACCGAUGCCAUACUCAUUUUCAGCAAACACCCUGAAGAAGUAGGAUUUUCCCUCUUCCAAGUUAGAUACUCUGAAGCUUGUUUUUGAGCACUCAGUUGUCACUGUUGACCAGGACUUCCUCUCCGCGUCACGUUUUUCUACCACAUAGUUUAUGAUGGGACUUCCACCAUCAACAAUGGGAGGAUCCCAAGUAAUAUAGGCAGAAUCUUUGGAUAUUUCCUUAACAGUCACAUUGACAGGUGGCCCGGGAGUAUCUGGAUAAAGAGUGGGUAUAUAAGAAAGGAAUAUGUAAAAAAUACAUAAGCUACAUUUUUAGCGUAUGAUUUUUUUUUCAAACAGACUUACCAAGCACUUUCACUACAAUGGUAUACUCCUUUUUACCACAGCUGUUCUCCAGAGUCAAGAUAUAUUUUCCUGCAUCAUAUUUGUUCACAUUUUCACAGCGCAAGAAAGUGUCAAAGUCCGUUGACUUUAUAUCAAGUCCAAUCCUUUCUCUUAGAUUGACGUUUGGUUUAGACCAAGUUAUCUUUGGAGGUGGACGUCCUUUUACUGGUACAUACAGUCUCAUUGUAACUCCAGCACGUAAUAUGAGUGUUUUUCUCAAAUCCGCGUCAAGUUCUCCCUCAGGUGGAACUGUUUAAAGUUAAUAAUUUAAUGGUCAAACGUAUUUCUAAGGACUAGCCUUAUCAUUCCUAAAAUAUGUUUCUUUCUCACAACUGAUUUCUUGGUCUUUUUUUUUUUUAAUGUUUAUUUAUUUUUGAGACAGAGACAGAGCACGAAUGGGGGAGAGGUAGAGAGAGAGAGGGAGACACAGAAUCUGAAGAAGGCUCCAGGCUCUGAGCUGUCAGCACAGAGCCCGACGCAGGGCUUGAACUCACGGACCGUGAGAUCAUGACCUGAGCCAAAGUCGGACGCUUAACUGACUGAGCCACCCAGGCGCCCCUGAUUUCUUGGUCUUUAAAAAAUCCUCAAAACUUUUAUCAACUAUUUCAGUACUCUAUAGUUAUUGUUGAUCUUUCUAUAUUCUAAUAUCCUGUAGGCUAAAUCAAGUUUUUCCUGGAGAACCUGUACUUUCUCUUCUCAUGAACCUUCCAUAUUCUCAGACUCUCUCUAUAUUAAAUGUAGAUAAUUGAUU
rnacentral:lncRNA from 1 species